rnacentral:lncRNA from 10 species
CCACCACGAUGACGGCGAUGAGGCCGGCGGUGAGGCGCUUCAUGGAGAACUUCGGGGGAAUCUCGUCCAGGGCUCCUCAGGCUCAAGCACAACCUGGAAAAACGAAGGUGUUAAUGUUCCAUGAGGCAACUGAUGACCAAUGGGGAGCAGGAGCUGGUGAAUGAAUGUUCCCUUCAUCCAUCCUGCAGCUUCUACAUUGUUCUUCAUCUCUGGGAAAUCAGUGACCCAUGGACUGGACAAUAACUUUGAGCCAUGCAGUCAAAAUAAAAUGGAAUAUUUAAGUGAAAGAUCAGGUUCUGGAAAAUAAAACUGCUCGUAGCUGCAUAUUAUCUACCGAACUUAGGUGGAUUCUCAGAAAGAAAAAGGUGAUGUUCACUGGCAUGAACAGUGAAUGGUGGAGUGGAACGUGAACAGGCUGGAGCUCUGGCUGUGCCAUUUAUUAGCCAUGUGCCUUUAGAAGGUCCUCAUCUUCUCCAGCCUCAGUUUCACCAUCUGUAAUGGUAGGAGUAUCCAUGACCCAGAGAGAGUAUCAGUGUCAAGAAUCUGCCAGUGAGAAAGUGAUUUGAAGCAGCUCUGGAGUUCAGAUGGCCACGGGUGCAAGUGCCUGCUCUGGUGUGCUUUGCCUCUGGAAAGAUGCCAAGUCUUUGAGAAUCUUUGCUGCAUCAGCCAUGCUACAUCCUGAGGACUUGGAGGUGAGGAAAUCCUGUGUGCACUUGUUUCCUUCCCUUCAAAUGAUAUAUCCCAGAAAAAUGGCAAGCUCUCUGCUUACUAACUCUUUUCUUUUUCUUUAGUUCCCCCUUAGCUUUCUCUCUCCUUUCUUCCGUCUUUCUCUUGCCUCCUUUCAUUUUUGGUAAAAUCCAAAGCGAAAUGUCAACUCAGAGGACAUAGCUGUUUGUCUUCACCACCUACAAACUGUAUUUCCUGGAUCAAGCCGCUUAACUCCAUUGAACUGUUUUUAGCAUCCUGAAAAUGGGGAAUCACACUUUCCACUUAUCCAAGCAUUUGCUCAUUCGUUUAUUAAUAAUGUAACACCCUUGAAUGCCAGGCCCUGAACUGAAGAUAUGGUCCUGACCCACUGGGUAGUCACAGGAGAGUGGAGAAUAAUGCUUCAUUUGCUAUGUUGCUUCAAGAAUUACAUAAAAUAAGGCAGUUAAAAAUAUUUUGUGAACCAAAUAGUGCAUUAUGAAAAGAUAUUAACACUUCUUACUUUCUUAUAGCAAUUUCUAAAUGAUUUAAUUUCUGCCAUCAAAAUAUCCCCCUUGUGUUGAUCUAAACCAUCAGAUUGCAAGGUAAAGCCCUGAUGUAACUGAUGAGAUGAAGAACACUGUAUGGCCAUUAUUUUAGGUACGAUAAACAUUUGACUUCUCUUACAGAGACCUAAGGAAAAUGACUUAAAUAGGGUAGAAAUGUCUUUCUCAUGUAACAAGCCAUGCAUUAGCAGACCAGGGCUAGUGUGACAGUUCCUCCAUGGGUCACUGUGUGGUUCAUUAAGGUGUUGUCCUCCUUGGCAUGACCCACGAUGGCUGCCAGUGUAACAGCUGAAUGUCAACCAGCAAGACAGAGGUGAGGGGUGGGGAGGAGGGCAUGCCUCUUCCCUCUGAGAAAUUGCCCACCUACUUCUGUUUAUGUCCCAUGAGCCAAAAUUUAGAAUUAGGUGUCUCCACCUAGCUUCAGGGAGGCUUGGGAACUGAAGUCUUUAUCCUGGGCAUUCUAGCAUACCCUACAUCCAAUCUGUCAAAGUUGCAUUUAGAAUCCAGCCCCUUCUCACCACCUUUACUUCUUUCAUGGCGGUCCAAGCCACUUUCACUGGAUGACGGCAGUAGCCACCUAACUGGCUUCUCUGCUUCUUCUCUUGCCCUCCACUGAAAUCUUUGCUCAGCGCACGUUGAAUAAUGACUCUUUUAGGAUGUAAGCCAGAUUUUUCAACUCCUCUGCUCAAACCCCUGCAAUGGCUUGCUAGGCCCUGUGGGAUUAGGCCUUUGCUACCUGUCCCUUCCUUCCAUCCUCCCUCCUCCCUUGCUUACUCCACUCCAGCCACAUCUGCUCCCUUCCUGGCCUCAGGAAGGCAGACAUGCUGUUGGGUAGGGAUUUUCAUCGGUCGUUCCUUCAGCCUAAAAAUUGUCCAUUUCAGAUAUUCACAGGGCUCAUUCCCUCGCCUCCUUCAAAUCUUUCCUCAAAUGUCACCUUCUUAUAGAGGUCUAUCAUGACUUCUCUACUUAAAAUGGCAAGACCUGCUUCCCAACUUUUGGCACUCCUAAUCUGCCUUAUCUUAUUCUUUUUUUUUUUUUUUUUUUUUUCACAGCAGGGACAUUUUCUAAUAUAGGUUUAUACUUUACUUAUUUACUAUCUUUAGUGUGUGUGUGUGUGUGUGCCUCUUCCCUUGCUAGAAUGACAGCUCCCUGAAGGCAAGGAUUUUUUUUUCUUCCCUGAUGUAUCCCCAGUACCUAAAAGAGUGCCUGGUGUAUAAUAGAUAAUAAAUAUUUCUUGAAUAUAAGCUUGCAUGAAGAGAUGGAGCCGAAUCCAGUUCUGAUGACAUCAUUUGAGCUCUGGUUCCAUGUGCCUAAAGCAAGAAUUCUACACUUUUCAGUUCCAUGGGUCAAUAAAUUUUCUUGUGUUUAUUUAUUUAAUUGGAAGACUAUUAUUUAACUAAAUCAAUUAGA